rnacentral:rRNA from 1 species
UACGGGGGGGGCAAGCGUUGUUCGGAAUUACUGGGCGUAAAGGGCUCGUAGGUGGCCAACUAAGUCAUACGUGAAAUCCCUCGGCUUAACCGGGGAACUGCGUCUGAUACUGGAUGGCUUGAGGUUGGGAGAGGGAUGCGGAAUUCCAGGUGUAGCGGUGAAAUUCGUAGAUAUUCGGAAGAACACCAGUGGCGAAGGCGACUCACUGGACACGUAUUGACGCUGAGGUGCGAAAGCGUGGGGAGCAAACAGG